CUGUUGUGGUGCGAUAAAGUGGAUAUGAGAAUCCAUGCCACCUGCCGUUAUCAGGCAUCCUUCUCCGGCAAUAAUUUCCGUUGUGGGGCCAAUGAUAAUGGUGACAUUAUCCUGAAUAUCAGGAUUGCCUGCCUUGCCGAUGGCGGCGAUACGGCCAUCCCGAAUGCCAAUGUCUGCUUUUAUAAUGCCAUCAUAAUCCACAACAACAGCAUUGGUAAUGACAGUAUCCAUAACCAUUGUGCCAGAGCGCUGGCUUUGUCCCAUGCCAUCACG
rnacentral:sRNA from 1 species